CCUACGGGGGGCUGCAGUGGGGAAUAUUGGACAAUGGGGGGAACCCUGAUCCAGCCAUGCCGCGUGUGUGAAGAAGGCCCUCGGGUGGUAAAGCACUUUCAGUGAGGAAGAACGCCUGGUGGUUAAUACCCAUCAGGAAAGACAUCACUCACAGAAGAAGCACCGGCUAACUCCGUGCCAGCAGCCGCGGUAAUACGGAGGGUGCGAGCGUUAAUCGGAAUUACUGGGCGUAAAGCGCGCGUAGGUGGCUUGAUAAGCCGGUUGUGAAAGCCCCGGGCUCAACCUGGGAACGGCAUCCGGAACUGUCAAGCUAGAGUGCAGGAGAGGAAGGUAGAAUUCCCGGUGUAGCGGUGAAAUGCGUAGAGAUCGGGAGGAAUACCAGUGGCGAAGGCGGCCUUCUGGACUGACACUGACACUGAGGUGCGAAAGCGUGGGUAGCAAACAGGAUUAGAUACCCCAGUAGUC
rnacentral:rRNA from 1 species